AUUGAACGCUGGCGGCAGGCCUAACACAUGCAAGUCGAGCGGAUGAAGGGAGCUUGCUCCUGGAUUCAGCGGCGGACGGGUGAGUAAUGCCUAGGAAUCUGCCUGGUAGUGGGGGAUAACGUCCGGAAACGGGCGCUAAUACCGCAUACGUCCUGAGGGAGAAAGUGGGGGAUCUUCGGACCUCACGCUAUCAGAUGAGCCUAGGUCGGAUUAGCUAGUUGGUGGGGUAAAGGCCUACCAAGGCGACGAUCCGUAACUGGUCUGAGAGGAUGAUCAGUCACACUGGAACUGGGACACGGUCCAGACUCCUAAGGGAGGCAGCAGUGGGGAAUAUUGGACAAUGGGCGAAAGCCUGAUCCAGCCAUGCCGCGUGUGUGAAGAAGGUCUUCGGAUUGUAAAGCACUUUAAGUUGGGAGGAAGGGCAGUAAGUUAAUACCUUGCUGUUUUGACGUUACCAACAGAAGAAGCACCGGCUAACUUCGUG
rnacentral:rRNA from 1 species